rnacentral:rRNA from 1 species
CAGCCGCCGCGGUAAUACGAAGGGGGCUAGCGUUGCUCGGAAUGACUGGGCGUAAAGGGCGCGUAGGCGGUUUUGACAGUCAGAUGUGAAAUUCCUGGGCUUAACCUGGGGGCUGUAUUUGAGACGUCAAGACUAGAGUGUGAGAGAGGGUUGUGGAAUUCCCAGUGUAGAGGUGAAAUUCGUAGAUAUUGGGAAGAACACCGGUGGCGAAGGCGGCAACCUGGCUCAUUACUGACGCUGAGGCGCGAAAGCGUGGGGAGCAAACAGGAUUAGAUACCCCGGUAGUCCCUGUCUCUUAUAC